UCCCCUCUAGAGUGUUCAUACUAUCUCACACAUAUACAUGUUAGCUUUAGCUAGUUUAAUUUAUUUUUUUUACUUGGCAACUGCAUUACAGGUUGUAAAAUAUACAAUUACUGAAUUUGUGGGUUUGUAGAUUAUUCAAUUUGUAUUUCACAAGUUAUAGCAGUGUAUAAGUCCUACCUUUUUCUGAGCAUAAGAAGAUUGUAAAAAAACUAACUAAAUACUGUUUUUAUUUUAUUAUUCAGACUACAAUAGUGUUAAAUGUUUAUUUUGUCUUCUGACUUCUUCUAUUGCAGAAAUUAAUUUUAACAAUUUUACUCUACUCUUAUAUGAAAUCAGUACAAGUAGUAUUUAAGUAUUUUGUUAUUCUCAUGUUCACCUAAGUAUAAUGAUGUUUUACAGUCUAAGAUCAGAAUACUUAAAACCACACGUUUAUGUUUGCUUUAAGUUUUUUAUGUUUUGUUUUUUUUUUUUUACUAAAGAAGUAUUUCUUGUGUAUUUCUUUUUAAGCAGACUACACCCUGUAAUGCAGAAUCAACCUGAGUCUCCUGGAGCGGUUUAUUAACAGUGAAGAUCCAAGACCAGAAUCAGAGUGAACAGGAACUCUCCUGCAGUCCUCCUGAACCUCCACUGGUGACGUCUGUGGGGUGAUGUAACUGAGAUCCUGGUGUUUCUCUUCUGGUUGGCGAGCGGAGUAUCCUAAAUAUCCUAUAUAUCCUUAUAUAUUGCAGGUUGCCACAGCUUGUGCCAUCAUCCACAAUAUCUGCUCCUGUGCUGACGACACCGAGGCCCCAGAGGAUGAUGUGGAGGUGAUGAUGAGGAGGAGGCUGGUUUGAAGGUCACCAGUGGUGCUCUCUGGCAGGACCAACUACCUACUGAGGUUUCUGCCCUGGGGGAGGUACCACCUGACCUUGAUUACUUUUAACAGGUAAUUAAUUAAUCAAGUGAUUUUUAAUUAUUCAAUCAUUUAAUUAAUUGAGUUUUUGUUAAAAACGUUUUAGGACAGUGCAUGCAUUAUCUUAUAUUUCUGGAUCAUUUUUGGUCAUGCAGCAUCCAUCCACAGCCAACCCAGUUCAAUUCCCCACUUGGGGCUUAUUUGUUUGUUCCUUUUUUUUUUUUAAUCCCCAAACUGUUCAAUUCAGGUAAAUAACAUUUUUAAAAAAUAGACAGGGGCAAUAAAUGACAAAAUAGCAAUGUGGGGGGGUGUUAGUUUUGAUUUUUAGUACUUUUAAAGGGUAAUCAAAUAGUGCAGUUGGUUGCGUAAUCCAUGGAAUGUAUCCACGGAGCUGUGUAACAUACUUCCGGUUUCCAGAUAGCCUAGCGGUUAAACUCCCGGUCUAAUAAUCAAGAGGUUUACGGUUCAAAUCCCGCUUGGGGGUUAUUUAUUUCUUUCUUUUUUUUUAAUCCCAAAACUGUUCAAUUCAGGUAAAUACUUUUUUUUUUUAAAUAGACAGGGGCAAUAAAUGACAAAAUAGCAAUGUGGGGGGUGUUAGUUUUGAUCUAGGUACUUUUAAAAGGUAAUCAAAUAUUGCAGUUGGUUGCGUAAUCCAUGGAAUGUAUCCAUGGAGCUGUGUGACACACUUCCGGUUUACAGAUAGCCUAGCGGUUAAACUCCCGGUCUAACAAUCAAGAUUGUUGCAAGAAGGUUGCUGGUUCAAACCUGACUGGGGGCUUAUUUGUUUAUUUCUUUUUUUUUUGUAAUCCCCAAACUGUUCAAUUCAGGUAAAUAAAAUAUUUUUAAAAUAGACCGGGGCAAUAAAUGACAAAAUAGCAAUGUGGGGGGUGUUAGUUUUGAUUUUUAGUACUUAAAGGGUAUUAAAUGCUGCAGUUGGAGGCUUAAUCCAUGCACUCUUUGCACGUAGCUGUGACGUAAUUUCUCCACAGAACUUGCCUGAAGAGAACUUCAAUUUUUGUGGUUUAUUUCUAUGGAAGUUUUUUACUUCUAUCAGACUCUGAUUUUUUAAUCCCUGAAUAUUUAUUCUGAUUUUUUAAAAUUCUUUAAAUGAUUUUUUUAAAUCACCUGUCAGCACAGGGGCAGAUAUUGUGGAGGAUGGCACAAGCUGUGACAACCUGCAAUAUAUAAAUUAAAUAUAUAAAUUAAUAGAAAUAUAUUCCAAGGAAUAUAAAAUGCUGCUUAGUUUUUUCUUUUUUUUUUACAAUCUUCUUAAACUCAGAAAAAGGUAGGUACUUAUAUUAAAACCUGUAAUCCAGUUGCUAGGUAAAAAAGAAUUAAACUUGCUAAAGCUAACAUAUAAAAGAGUUUGAGGCUUUUUCUUUCUUUAUCUUUUAAGAGCGUUUUUAAACUGUACCUGCAUAUCGUUUUCUCUCAGCCGGGAUAAUAGCAAGUUCCUGCGACGGCGAUGGAUCGAAGGAUCAGCUUCAACUCCUCCAAAAGUAAAAGGGGGGGCUGCAGGGUGGACAGGACCUGAUCGUCGCCCCAUCAGAGGACUGCACAUUAGGGCCUGCAAAGGCUCACCGCGGUGCUCCUGCCUCCUCCUGCCUCAGCCAUGAAGAGGGAAGGUCUUCCUCUUCCCUUCAGCCAUCCGUCCCUCCCAGUCCCUGAGCCUUCAGCCGCUCGGCUCCCCACCUCCGGAACGACCUCCGCAACGUUGACUCCUUUUUCAGGUUUUAAAACCAGACUCAAAACAUAUCUGUUUAAAUCUGCUUUCCAAAUUCAUAACUUUACUUCAUCUGUAAUCUGAUUUUAUUAAGAUGUCAGCGUAUUUAUUGUGUUUUAAUAUAUUUUUAAAGUGAUGUCAUGGUGUUUUUUUUACAUCUUUUUCUACUUUGUAGAGUGUCCUUGAGCGUUUUGAAGGGCACUUUCAAAUAAAAUGAACUAUUAUUUUAAAAACUGCUUUUUCUUAACUCUGGUUUUACAUUCUGUCUUUUACAUUGAGUUUUACUCUGUUUUAUUCUACUUUUAUUUAGUGUGAUUUUUAUCUUGUAAGGUGCUAUCUAAAUAAAGAUUAUUAUUACUUCUCUAAAAACCCAUGAAGCUUGUUUUUAGACUGUGAGAGAAGCCUGGGGUUCCAACCUUCACCUGUACGGGAGAGCACGCAAACUCCAUAUGAACUAGGGCUUUCAGGAUAUGAGGUGAGACUGCUAACCAUAAACUACCAUGGAGCCCUAUGUAUAGUGUGUCCAUGCCAUAUAUCAGUGGUCCCCAACCACCGGGCCGCGGACCGGUACCGGGCCGCAGACCCAUUGCCACCGGGCCGCGGAAGAAUUUAGGGACUUUUUUUUUUUUGAGUCAGAAAUCUUUUAUUUUGAAAAUCAACCGGAUUCUCUCGAUUAUACUGAGCGCUUAAAGCAGUCCAGCGGCGUGUCACACGAGAAAAGCUGCAUGUGGAACCUUUCUCCGCGAAUGGCUGGGAAUAGGGUACGCGCGUAAGUGCAGCUUCGGCGCCGGAACUUUCUGCCAGACCUGCUGUUCAGCCUGCGCGCGAGGCUGCAGCGUUCUCUCCUUCUUAGAACGAGCGUAGCUAAAUCGGUGGAUAGUUUACAUGCGAGCACAUCUACUUAUAUUUGAUUUAUUCUACAUCUCCUGUAAUUUUCAUGAGAAAAAACAAUUAGCAGAUACUGUUUUUUAAUUCGCAAGCCUCCGUGCCGAAGAAUUGAAUGCUGGAACGGGAGGUCACGUGACCGAAUCUAGCAAGCUGAUUGGCUGCAAUCAAUGUGUACAGGCAUACAGGAGCAGAUUUCUGUGUGAUUAUUUGAUAAUAUUGACAUUAAUAUGGAUUUAAUACUAAAUUUAAAUCAAGAACUUAAUUCUUGUAGUUCACUUGAUUAGCUUUCCAACAAUACCCUCCUUUUGUGGAUUGGACAAGAAAUGAGAAAGUUACAACAAUUUAAAGACUCUAAUCCUUGUUUUUGGUCACAUAAAUAUCACUGUUUUGCUGUUUAUUCAGGAAUAAAAUGAUACCCUACUUUUGAUCACUUAACUUGCCAUAACUUUCUUAUUCUU